AGGCAAGUGACUCAGCUGUCCCUGGAGGCUGGCAAAUGACAGAGCACCACCCAGGACACCAUCUGCUGCAGCCUCGCUCCUCACUUUGCUCCUAUGUCAACACCCUUGAUGGCAGGGGCUGGAUGGAUACCCUGGGGUGUCCUCCAUGUUUGACAUUCUCUCUGCGCUCCCCGCCUUACCCCCAAAGUUCCACUGUGACUGCUGGAGCUCCAGCCUCCAGGUCAACACUCCAUCAACCUGGGCUGAGAAGGCCACCACCCCACCUGACUCCAGUCCAACCUGCCCCAGCCUCCUCCCAGCUUUGGUACCAGCUUAACACAGAGCUGUAGCAACUGGCAGCUGCCUCCUGGGAUACCACCUGGGAAAUCAUUCUUCAAGCAGGGUCAGCUCCACGGCACGGUGCAGCACAAGAGCUCAGAAGCCAUGGGAAUAUUCAGCCACCGAUUGAACGAAGAACAAGUGGACGGGCAGACUGAAUGCUGCAGGCAAGAUGUGGUGUCUCCCACAGGAGGCAAGAUGCACUUAUAAUGGAUUCCCAUGUCCCUGGCCACUAGUCCCUGUAAACAGAGGGCUGUUCCAAAGCAUCAGAUCUUGGG